rnacentral:rRNA from 1 species
UGGGGAAUAUUGCGCAAUGGGGGAAACCCUGACGCAGCGACGCCGCGUGCGGGAUGAAGGCCUUCGGGUUGUAAACCGCUUUUGAUUGGGAGCAAGCCUUUUGGGUGAGUGUACCUUUCGAAUAAGCGCCGGCUAACUACGUGCCAGCAGCCGCGGUAAUACGUAGGGCGCAAGCGUUAUCCGGAAUUAUUGGGCGUAAAGAGCUUGUAGGCGGUUCGUCGCGUCUGGUGUGAAAGCCCAUCGCUUAACGGUGGGUUUGCGCCGGGUACGGGCGGGCUAGAGUGCAGUAGGGGAGACUGGAAUUCCCGGUGUAACGGUGGAAUGUGUAGAUAUCGGGAAGAACACCAAUGGCGAAGGCAGGUCUCUUGGCUGUUACUGACGCUGAGAAGCGAAAGCGUGGGGAGCGAACAGG